GUUGGGUAGGGGAGCGUUCUGUAAGCCUGCGAAGGUGGCCUGUGAGGGUUGCUGGAGGUAUCAGAAGUGCGAAUGCUGACAUAAGUAACGAUAAAGCGGGUGAAAAGCCCGCUCGCCGGAAGACCAAGGGUUCCUGUCCAACGUUAAUCGGGGCAGGGUGAGUCGACCCCUAAGGCGAGGCCGAAAGGCGUAGUCGAUGGGAAACGGGUUAAUAUUCCCGUACUUGGUGUUACUGCGAAGGGGGGACGGAGAAGGCUAUGUUGGCCGGGCGACGGUUGUCCCGGUUUAAGCGUGUAGGUGUGUGUUCCAGGUAAAUCCGGUUCACUUUAACACUGAGGCGUGAUGACGAGGCACUACGGUGCUGAAGCAACAAAUGCCCUGCUUCCAGGAAAAGCCUCUAAGCAUCAGGUAACACGAAAUCGUACCCCAAACCGACACAGGUGGUCAGGUAGAGAAUACCAAGGCGCUUGAGAGAACUCGGGUGAAGGAACUAGGCAAAAUGGUGCCGUAACUUCGGGAGAAGGCACGCUGACACGUAGGUGAAGUGAUUUACUCAUGGAGCUGAAGUCAGUCGAAGAUACCAGCUGGCUGCAACUGUUUAUUAAAAACACAGCACUGUGCAAACACGAAAGUGGACGUAUACGGUGUGACGCCUGCCCGGUGCCGGAAGGUUAAUUGAUGGGGUCAGCGCAAGCGAAGCUCCUGAUCGAAGCCCCGGUAAACGGCGGCCGUAACUAUAACGGUCCUAAGGUAGCGAAAUUCCUUGUCGGGUAAGUUCCGACCUGCACGAAUGGCGUAAUGAUGGCCAGGCUGUCUCCACCCGAGACUCAGUGAAAUUGAACUCGCUGUGAAGAUGCAGUGUACCCGCGGCAAGACGGAAAGACCCCGUGAACCUUUACUAUAGCUUGACACUGAACAUUGAGCCUUGAUGUGUAGGAUAGGUGGGAGGCUUUGAAGUGUGGACGCCAGUCUGCAUGGAGCCGACCUUGAAAUACCACCCUUUAAUGUUUGAUGUUCUAACGUGGACCCGUUACCCGGGUUGCGGACAGUGUCUGGUGGGUAGUUUGACUGGGGCGGUCUCCUCCUAAAGAGUAACGGAGGAGCACGAAGGUUGGCUAAUCCUGGUCGGACAUCAGGAGGUUAGUGCAAUGGCAUAAGCCAGCUUGACUGCGAGCGUGACGGCGCGAGCAGGUGCGAAAGCAGGUCAUAGUGAUCCGGUGGUUCUGAAUGGAAGGGCCAUCGCUCAACGGAUAAAAGGUACUCCGGGGAUAACAGGCUGAUACCGCCCAAGAGUUCAUAUCGACGGCGGUGUUUGGCACCUCGAUGUCGGCUCAUCACAUCCUGGGGCUGAAGUAGGUCCCAAGGGUAUGGCUGUUCGCCAUUUAAAGUGGUACGCGAGCUGGGUUUAGAACGUCGUGAGACAGUUCGGUCCCUAUCUGCCGUGGGCGCUGGAGAACUGAGGGGGGCUGCUCCUAGUACGAGAGGACCGGAGUGGACGCAUCACUGGUGUUCGGGUUGUCAUGCCAAUGGCACUGCCCGGUAGCUAAAUGCGGAAGAGAUAAGUGCUGAAAGCAUCUAAGCACGAAACUUGCCCCGAGAUGAGUUCUCCCUGAGACUUAGAGUCUCCUGAAGGAACGUUGAAGACGACGACGUUGAUAGGCCGGGUGUGUAAGCGCA
rnacentral:rRNA from 1 species